CUCAUACUCUUAAAAACAAAAAGUUGGAGGGGAGAGGACUGGAAAGACGCUCAGUUAAGAGCACUUGCUGCUGUGGCAGAGGACCCAGGAUCCGUUCUCAGUAGACCCAUGGUCGCUCACAACAUUUUGUAGCUCCGGUUCCAGAGGGUCAGAUGCCUCUUCUAUCGUCUAUGGGUAUACAUACAUAGUACAGACACAGUACACAUACAUACGUAGGUCCAUGUUAAUCUCGUUGCAUUUUCAAUUUCAAUAUAUUUGCUGUUGAAGUGAGCAUGGAUUCAUACACUUGACAGGAAAUACCAGUUCCCUCCCUCCGCUCCUCUUCUGACACAUGGAUGGAAAUAGUGUCUCAUGACAAAAAUAAGAGAGAGCCUAAUGUGGAAAACAUGAAGAGGGAAGCCAUAGGCUGAGGAUGCUUGGAAGGAAAGGAGGAACCCGGGUCAUUCGUGAUAUCCUGAAGCCGCUCCAGCAGUCCUGAAAUGGCUACUACUGUCCCCCAAAUAAGCCUGAAUUCGACUCCACUGCUUCCUGGAGAAUGUAGCUGAACAUAGUCCUGGCUCGUACAUCAACCGUCAUAAGUUACCUCCUUCUGAGUGUUCUUGCUCCAAUAGUUUACAACUUAGAUAGUAAUAACUUUGUGUGUCAGAAAUGCAAGCACUAUCAUAAAAGGGUAUCAACUAUACCAGUAUUCUGCUAAGUCCUGACAUUUCAAACUAUUAUUAGAUUAAGAAACAUUUAUUAAAGGAAAUAAAAAGAGAGAAGAAGCGAUACCUAUACUUGCAUCUCCUGAAGUCUCAUCUUAGCAUUUUGAUAUAAUUAUGUUCUCUGCCUUAUUUUCAAGUACUUUUUUACCUUAUGACAUUUGUGUAUAUUUAUAUUAUUUUACCUAAUGUUAUACUAUAAAUAGCUUUCCAAGUUAGCACAAGUUAGCAAGGGUGUGGCUAAGUAAGAAAACAAAUACAUAUACUGUGGUAAGUGACAUAUGCACACAGAGUGGUCCUAAAAAUAUCCAGAAGGGAAAUUAAGGAAGUAGCUGGCUAACUAU